CCUACGGUGGGCAGCAGUGGGGAAUAUUGGGCAAUGGGCGCAAGCCUGACCCAGCAACGCCGCGUGAAGGAAGAAGGCUUUCUGGUUGUAAACUUCUUUUAAGGGGGAAGAACAGAAGACGGUACCCCUUGAAUAAGCCACGGCUAACUACGUGCCAUCAGCCGCGGUACUACUUAGGUGGCAAGCGUUGUCCGGAUUUACUGGGUUUAAAGGGCGUGCAGCCGGAGAGACAAGUCAGAUGUGAAAUCCACGGGCUCAACCCGUGAACUGCAUUUGAAACUGUUUCCCUUGAGUGUCGGAGAGGUAAUCGGAAUUCCUUGUGUAGCGGUGAAAUGCGUAGAUAUAAGGAAGAACACCAGUGGCGAAGGCGGAUUACUGGACGAUAACUGACGGUGAGGCGCGAAAGCGUGGGGAGCAAACAGGAUUAGAUACCCGAGUAGUC
rnacentral:rRNA from 1 species